GGAAAAUCCGGAUCACAGAAGCUACUAAGGCUCAUUUAGGUAAUGCCAAUUGAUAUACCAGAAAAUUACUACUCCAGGUUCAACACUUUCAAGGAAAAAUCAACAAGAAGAGAUGAAUGACCUACUCGUAGAAGUUGUUGCACAGAUCAAAUACAAACUUGGCUAAGGAAAUAGUCUCUACCGAAGCCAAUGAUAUCAAACGAUUAGUUUUCCCAGUCAAUUUUCAUAAUACUAGGCUGAAGAAAAGGAAGAGAGAGAGGGAAGGGAAGAAGACAAACAGCAAAAAACCAAACAGAAAACAAUAUAAUAAAUUCUCAA
rnacentral:misc_RNA from 1 species